AUGUACCAAAUAUCUCAACUGAUGUCAACACCAGUAGCAAAUUCUUCCCCGUCGGAGAAAGAAUGUGCUGUAGAGCCGUCUCCCCCAUGUAUUCUCCCAAGCUCUGUCUGUGAUUUCCUCAAUGGUGACAGUCCCUUUGAGGGUCGCUCCGGAGAUCCCCUGAUGGGCUCCCCGUUCACCUGUCGACGAAGUCCCAGACUUCUCACCAACGGCUACUACAUCUGGACAGAAGACAGUUUUUUCUGCGACGAAGACGGCAACAUAACCCUGAGCCCCUCCCAGACCAGGGUUCUCUACAAGGAGAACUUAGUCAGAAUAUUUAGAAAGAAAAGGAGAAUCCGCCGUUCUUUUUCUUCUCUCUUCGACCUCAGCACCUCUGAAUCCUGGCUGCAUGGGAGCAUCUUCGAUGAUGUUGACUCCUCCCCCAGUGAGGAUGUCUGGUUGGAGGGGGUCAGGAGGCUGGAAACAAACCACUGCAAAGAAAAUGGAGGUGAUUUUGACUGUUCUCUGACUGAUGACUGGGAGUCACAGAAGCUGAAUGCAGAGUCUGUGAAAGCCUCCUUUUCUGGCCCCGUUGCCUCUCAGAGACCCAGAGAAAACUCCUACGGCUUGUCUCCUCAGUCCCAGUGGACAGCUUCUGAACAUUUCCAGGAAGAUGCAUUGGAUCAUCCAAAAACCAGUUUGUUACGAGAGGUCUCCUUUCAAGCAAUUCUGCUUGCUGCAUGCUUAAUCAUUUCUGCCUGUGCAAGGUGGUUUCUGGGAGGAAUCAUAGCCAGUGUCUUCUCCUGUUCCUUGGUGAUAAUCAUUGCUUGUUUGCCAAAAUCUGACAACCAUUCAGGGCCUCUGAUGAAUGUCUUCCAUCUGAACAUCCAGAAAUUGUCUGAUUUGUGGUCUGCUUGGAAUCAACUGUUUGUUGGAGAGAGUGCAAUUGGAUAA
rnacentral:lncRNA from 1 species